AGUCGUAACAAGGUCUCCGUAGGUGACCUGCGAGGGAUCAUUACCGAGUGGAGGCGCUCCGGCGCCCCGACUCCCACCCUUUUGAUUUGAUCCAAGACCUCCUUCUGCCUCGGGGCGACCCGGCCUUCGGGCGGCGGUCCCCCCGGCGGUACCCAACCUCAACCCUGCAUCAAUUGUCGAUCUGAGCAUUGAAGCGAAUUCAAUCAAAACUUUUAACAACGGAUCUCUGGUUCUGGCAUCGAUGAAGAACGCAGCGAAAAUGCGAUAAUAAUGUGAAUUGCAGAAUUCAGUGAAUCAUCGAAUCUUUGAACGCACAUUGCGCCCCCUGGUAUUCCGGGGGGCAUGCCUGUUCGGCGUCACAAAAAGGCUCAGGCGAAAGCUUGAUGUUGGCGUCUAGGCCGCUACGAUUGUACCCCGAAAUAGGAUUUUUCAGCGGGCCCCGCCUCAAAUGAUUGGCAGCGCACGUAUCUCCGGCGUAUCCAGGCUUUACAGUCUUCGCUUCGUGGGUGAUCGUGCUCCGUACUCGCCCGCAAACGACCCGUAUAUCACAGAAAUUGACUCUCGAUCAGGUAGGGAUACCCGCUUGAACUUAA
rnacentral:rRNA from 1 species